GACGAACGCUGGCGGCGUGCUUAACACAUGCAAGUCGAACGGAAAGGCCCUGCUUUUGUGGGGUGCUCGAGUGGCGAACGGGUGAGUAACACGUGAGUAACCUGCCCUUGACUUUGGGAUAACUUCAGGAAACUGGGGCUAAUACCGGAUAGGAGCUCCUGCUGCAUGGUGGGGGUUGGAAAGUUUCGGCGGUUGGGGAUGGACUCGCGGCUUAUCAGCUUGUUGGUGGGGUAGUGGCUUACCAAGGCUUUGACGGGUAGCCGGCCUGAGAGGGUGACCGGCCACAUUGGGACUGAGAUACGGCCCAGACUGCUAAGGGAGGCAGCAGUGGGGAAUAUUGCACAAUGGGCGGAAGCCUGAUGCAGCAACGCCGCGUGCGGGAUGACGGCCUUCGGGUUGUAAACCGCUUUCGCCUGUGACGAAGCGUGAGUGACGGUAAUGGGUAAAGAAGCACCGGCUAACUACGUG
rnacentral:rRNA from 1 species